ACAGCGCAGAUGCCAAAAUGAAGCUUUUAUCUGCAUUUGCACCUGCACUUGUACUAGUUCUUGUUUCUUACUUCCUUGAAAAACCCUGAAACCAAGCUUCAAAGCAUGGCAAAGGUUUUAGAUGUAUGAGAGGAAAAAAAAGAAGAAAAGAGGAAAGGAAUAAAGGAAUAGGAGGAAAAUGGAAGUCAGAAGGAAGAGGAGGAACAAGCAACAGGUGCAGGUGCAAGUGCAGGUGAAUGCCAUUUUGGAUCAUUAACACCA